ensembl:lncRNA
UUUUUUUUUUUUGUUUUUUUUUUUUUUUGUCUUUUUAGGAGUACACCUGUGACAUAUGGAAACUUCCAGGCUGAGGGUUGAAUCAGAACUAUAGCCGCCAGCCUAUGCCAUAGCCCCAGCAAUGCCAGAUCCGAUCCGAGCUAUGUCUGUGACCUAUACCAGAGCUCACGGCAAUGCCAGAUCCUUAAUCUACUGAGCAAGGCCAGGGAUCAAACUGACAUCCUCAUAGAUACUAGUCAAGUUUGUUUCUACUGACCCACAAAGGAAACGCCUGAACUUUUAAGUUAUAAAUGUAAAAAUAUUCUACUAACUCCAAUCACUUUACAAAAUUGAUAAAGUUUAUAUAUGUCUAGGAUAAACGUGUUACUAUAAUUACUCAACAUUUUCAAAAUCCUUUUAAAAUCUUUUACUAGUUCGGUUUUUUAAAUGAGAAAAGAUAUUAUAUCACUGCUAUCUGAGCUUUAAAAUCAGUACUUAUGUACCUAACUCAAGUACAUAAUAUAUAUAUAAAAUAUGCCUGAAAUAUUGCAUUCACCAAAUUGUUAAAAGAUUUUCUAAUAGUUUCAAAUUUUUUUAAAUUUCCAUUUAUAAGAAGCUUUUGAUUAAAAAAUUAAAAACAAAAGCACAAAUACUUUAGAUUUUAAUUUAUACACAUAUUUAAAUAUGUAUCUAUGUGUUUCUAGAAAUUUUAAAAGCAAAGAAUCAGGUGUUCUAGAAAAAAAUCCGUAAGGUCAGAGAAGUUAUUUUACAUAAUUUUAAAAGGAAGAAAGCAAAAAUAGGUCUAAGACAUUAUUCUAGUGCAGAAACAAAAAAAGUAUAUAUUCUGUUCCUAUGAAGACCAAGACUCCUGACUAACCAUAAUGACGAAGAAGAGGUUUUUUUUUAGAGAAAAAAAAUUAUUUCCAUGUUACUUGAUUAACACUAAACUAUACUUGGUAACACUCUUAUCUGCUGCCAGAGACUUUCAUGUUACUUUUUUUUCUAAAAUGGCUCAAGAAAGCACAUUUUCUGCUCAAAAUCAAAUUAUCAAACAGUGUGAAACUACCAUAAGCCUCAAAAACUGUGAAGUGUAUUCUGAUUUGCAGGAAAAAUAAACUGAUGGUAAUUAGGUGUUACAAAUUCUUCACUUGACAAAAUUAUAGUUUGUAGAGCUCCUUUAGAUCAGGAGCACCUAGAGUGUAUUUAGAAGAGAUUUCAAAUUACGAAAACUAAAUUUGCCAUAAAAUUAUUUAGUAUUUAUUAGUACACUAGUUUCAUUCAAAUUCUUCAUAAUGCUAAUCAGUGGCAAAGGGGUGACCAUGUAUUAUAUGCUUUUGAAAGCUUAUGCAACCAAAGAGAUCUUAACAGUCAGUUGUUCGGUAAACAGAUAAAAAGGCUUGUGCAAUUGCCCAGUGGUUUUUGUACAAACACAUUCAUUUCCUGGAACUUGGUAAAAGCUUGUUUUGAAAAUAACCUUAUAGUCUUAUCACAUGCCACUUAUCACUAUUGAAUUGGUGGAUAAUUUAGGACAAUAAAAAUUUCCUUUAGCAGUAAUAUUUUUCUCCAUAUUAUGAUUUUUGGCAUUACUUUUGUCACCUCCCAUCUCCUCUAACAUACACAAACCCAUAUAUAUAUAUACAUAUACACACACACACAUAUAUACACACACACACACAUCAAUGUUAAAUUUGAUAUGUCUGAAGUGAAUUUCUUAAAUUCCAUAAUAUUAUGUUUAAAUACAAAUUAUAACUCCCAAACAAUAAAUAGUUCUAAUCUCCAUUUAUGGAAAAAAAAAAGGGCCACAGAAUUGCUCACUCUGCUAUAAGAAAUACUCAAUAACCAGCUCAUUAUUAUCUUCCUUAUUUGGAUGGGUACAACUUCUCAACUUCUCUCAAUGUUUGCAUAUCACCCAGUAAAACAAGUCAACUGCUAUUGUGUUUCAGCAAUACUUGGUAUAAUGGAGCACACCCACAUGGAAAUGUUCACUGAGGCUAUACUUUGCUUCACCAAAGCUACACUUUCCUUCAAGAAACUUCUAGCACUUCCUAGUUAACAUUUUAGAGACAAGCUAUCUGAAGUUAUCUGGUUACCUAUCAUAAGACUGAAUGUUUUACAACUAACUGACAGGGUAAGCUUUUCUCACCCAAGGCUGAAGGAAGAUAAUUUACCUUAAAUCUUGCAUUCAGAAACAUACCAAGAACAGAGUUAAGUCAUCUAUUUAAAAGGUUUGUUUUAUUUUAUUUUAUUUUUUCCCCUUGGUAACAAUUGGCAAAAUGCUGAAAACAGAAAAAUCCACUAAGAAAAAAAGCAGUUGUUGCAAAAGAAAUAUACAACCAAGUUAAUAUCUUGGUUAAACAUAAAUAGAUCUUACAAACAGAAAAGAGGAACACAUCAGAUUAACCACAAAAUGUAGAAAUGCAGAUGCUAAACAUAUAAAAAUUCUCAAACACCAAUGCAAAUUAAAAUAAAUAAUCACAAUCUUUUACUUCUCAAAUUUGCAUUAAAAAAAAAUCAGAAGUUCAUGGUGGUGCGGCAUUAAUGAAUCCGACUUGUAACCAUGAGGUUGCGGGUUCGAUCCCUGGCCUCCCUCAGUGGGUUAAGGAUCCGGUGUUACCCUGAGCUGUGGUGUAGGUUGCAGAUGCAGCUCGGAUCCAGCGGCUACAGCUCCUAUUCAACCCCUAGCCUGGGAACCUCCAUAUGCCGUGGGAGCGGCCC